UGUUAAAAAUUUCAUCCAUUUGUACUAUUAAAAACUAGUGUGAUUAACAAAAUAAUUAGAUCAUUCUGAUAUAUAAAUAUCAGUCUUUAACAGUAGAAAUUGAUGAAACUUUAAUA
rfam:Gossypium raimondii Chr07_contig_1441, whole genome shotgun sequence.